UUGAAAGGGAAACGAUUGAAGUCAGUCGUACCUGCGGGUAAUCAGCCUUUUGGGCAUGAUUCUGUGGAGCGUGAGGAGUUAAACGCCUUCAUGCCUGCAUAUUCGUGUACAUUGGGUGUACUUGCCUGUGUGGUUAGUUAACAUCAAUUUUGGUUAUCAUAAAAUGGUUGGAGGAAUGUAGCUUCGAUUUCGAUUGAAGUGUUAUAGCCUUCGGCAGAUGUGAUGAUCGGGAUUGAGGAUUGCAACGGAUACCCUUCGGGGCUACCUGUCUGGUCUCUGAUCGUUGCUUUGGUGCCGAAAGCGUGCUUACGGUUAUCAAAGUCGAUGGUCGAUAGGUUAGAACGGGUUAAAUUCGUUAAGGAUGUUGACGUA
rnacentral:rRNA from 1 species